GAGUCAGUAAUGUUACUUGAAACUAUGCAUCUGCCAAGGGUUCCUGUUUUCUGUCCCCUAGAGGGCAAUCACAAGCCCUUAUGAGACCUUACAUCACCCUCAACUCUGAUGAUGGAAGAAACUGCCCUGAGUGGAAGACAUGCGACUAGUUCUGCCUAUAAGGGUUAGGCUUGAGGCUUCCCUAAUGUGAUUGGUGCCAUAGACUGCACACACACACAUCCCCAUCAAGGCCCCAAUGAAGGGGAUUUUGUGAACCGAAAGGGAGUUCACAGUGUAAAUGUGCAGAUGGUGUGUGACUAUGUGCCAUAUCACAAAUGUGGAAGCAAAAUGGCCUGGAUCUGCACAUUUAUGCACAUUAUUUGAACGUGGCGUUUAUGAUGGGAUCCUGCUUUGAGACAGGGGCUAUGCCUGCAGGCAGGAUUUUAUGACGCCAUUCCCUGACCCAAACCCCGGACCACAAACAAGUUACAAUGCAGCUCUAGCCAGGACAAGGGCAUGCAUUGAAAUGACCUUUGGGCAACUAAAGGGAAGAUUUCAGUGUCUGAAAAGUCUUGGGGUUGCACCUGACAGGGCCUGCGACAUUGUUGCAUGUGCCGUAUUACACAACAUUGCCACCAUCAGAAAGGAGAGGACCCCUGUGGUGGAGGUGCAGCCUGAUGAUCACCUCCAGCCAGUGCACUUGGACCAACCUAGUGGCAGAGCUGCACGAGACAGAAUUGUGGAACACCAUUUUUGC